AGUACUUUAGAGAAAUGUAGAUAGAGAAAAACAAAACAUAGGGAGUAAAAGUUUACUUAGGUUCAAUUCACAUUCGACUACAUUAAAACUUUAGAUUUGCGCCUUUUCACCAAGACAUUAUAAGAUUUCUCUCUCUAAAUUUCCUCCAUAAAACCCCGUUCCACCCUUCAAACUGUAACCCGCCGCCAGCUAGCUCGCUGGAGUGCGACCUGAGCUUCCCUGGCUCCAUAAGGUCGUCGGCGAGCCGGAUUUAUUAGCGUUCCAUCGAUUAAAAUAAGGGUUUUAUUGCCCACCGGUAGAGAAGAAGAAGAGGGGAGCAAGCUUUGUUCACAAAGUAAGAUUCAAUUCCUUUUUAGUGUCUCUCUCAUCUUGCCGGAUCCAUCUACUACUUGCUAGUGCAUACCAACCAUCUUCCUCACGUACAAAGGAGGUUUUACAAGUCCGGGGUUCUCCUAAUUACCGUUUAUUACCCAAGCUUUAUCCCAAGUGAAAAAAGGAGUGUGAGUGUACAAGUUGGAGGAGACAAUGAAAGGCCAACAAGCACAACUUCAAUUAUAUUUGUAGUUUGUAAUGCUCUAGUUUCAAUGUGUAAUUUAUUUCUGUGUUAAUAUAUGUUGAAAUUAGCCAGUGUCAAAUAAAAUAAAUAAAAUAAAACUUCAGACAUAAUUGAAGGUAAUACAUCCUACAAAUAAAGUUUUUUGACUAAUA